CUGCUUCACUCCUGAAUCCUGCAGCUUGUUGAAGCUCAGGUCCAGCGCUCUCAGAUGGGAGGGGUUGGACUUCAGUGCUGCUGUCAGAUAAUCACAGCUGAUCUCGGACAAACCACAGCUCCUCAAUCUCAGAGUCUCCAGUCGACAGUUUGGACUCUCCAGUCCAGCACACAGAA